rnacentral:rRNA from 1 species
GGGUCAGGAGGUUGGUCGUGCCACCGGUACGUACUGGUCUCACUGAUUCCUCCUUCCUGAAGACCCGUACUGCCAUUAAUUUGGUGUUGCGGGGAAACAGGACUGUUACUUUGAAAAAAUUAGAGUGUUUAAAGCAAGCUAACGCUUGAAUACAUUAGCAUGGAAUAAUGAAAUAGGACGAUCGAUCCUAUUUUGUUGGUUUCUAGGAUUGACGUA